AUGAAACACGAGUAAAAAGACAGUAAGCUCUGGGCGCCAAACGUUUGCAACUAGCCUGUCAUCAUGGCAAUUGAGACUGUAGGACGAGCUCAAAUUUCUAUAAGUCACUUUCCAUAUCAUUUCAGUUAUUGCUGAAAUGGACAAAUGGUUACACCGCCCUAAGCUUCACCCAAUCAUAUAAUGCAAGCCAAGCCAGAGCUUGCACUUUCAAACCCAUCCAGUUUCCAGUAACCAAUUGGUGAAAUCGUCUUUUUCACAUCUGCAGAGAAAGUUUUUAAUGGUCCUAUAACUAUGGUAGUCGAGAUUAUAUAGUAGGUAUAGGCAGGAUUUGUGCCAACUAUGUUUGCUAGCCGCCAUAUUGAUAAACAAGCCUAGGCAUCAACGUGUAAAAUUUUCAGACAAGAGAAAUAGAAAUAUAAAGAGAAAAAAUUUCGCUGAAUCGGGAGGCAGGAGACAUUUCGCACAAAGUAUCUCCACGGGACGUCUAUUAUCGGAAUUCCCUUGCACACAAACGCGUCCUUGGCAGAUUCCCCGAAUUGGGAAGCAUACAGACUUUCCAAACCUAGAACUUCCGUUGAGAACUUCUUCACACUGGAGAGUCACUUGUAACUUUGCAUCGACGAAAAUCGAUUAUAUUGAUUACCUUCGAGUUAGAGUAGAAGAUAUGAACUCAUUGCUUUUUGAAAACUCACGAAUAGUUUGGCGUUGCCUUAGAUAAGAAAAAGUGAGGAUCAGCAUAGAGUGUUGUGUACAGAGUCUGUCUUCACAGGCCAUCAAACAGCAAAACAAAAUAUUCUUUUUUUUUUAAAUUUGGACACAUCCCUACCUCAUCUUUAAUUUACACCAUUUUGCAAAGUAUAAUUAGUUUACUAUUGUAAGGUACGUUCUAAGGUAAGGUAACAUUCACAGCUCAAAUAAAUGUUAACCCUUAUAUU